CGUCCAGCAGCUCCUCAGCAGCUCGUCCACGUGCACAGCAAGAUCGCCUCCGGUGCCGCGGCUCGUUGUCGGCUCGUCGUGGCUCGUCGGCGGCUCGUCGAUGGCUCGUCCAAGUGCUGCAGGCGCAACACCUCCAAGGUAUCCACACGUGCAGGGAGGAAGCGUCGCAAGCCGGACUGCUAGAUCCGUGAGUUGCAACAGGCGAGGGCGUGGAAGGCGCGGCAGAUGUGUUUCGCCAAAAGGUGUAAACCCUAGGGCGCCCCCACCCCUCUAUUUAUAGAGGUUCCUGAUGGGCCUCUGGAUCCGAGGCCCAUUAGUACUCCUAAACCUAAUCCAACUCGGAUCAGAUUCGAAUUGGGCUUCCAGCCCCUUAAGUGUGUGACCCUAUGGGUUCGGAUACGUAUAGACAUGGCCCGAGUACUCCUACUCGGCCCAAUAGUCGGUAGCGGCCUCUAGCAAGACGUGCC
rnacentral:lncRNA from 1 species